UACGUAGGGACCAAGCGUUGUUCGGAUUUACUGGGCGUAAAGGGCGCGUAGGCGGCUUAACAAGUCACUUGUGAAAUCUCCGGGCUUAACUCGGAACGGCCAAGUGAAACUGUCAAGCUAGAGUGCAGAAGGGGCAAUCGGAAUUCUGGUGUAGCGGUGAAAUGCGUAGAUAUCAAGAGGAACACCUGAGGUGAAGACGGGUUGCUGGGCUGACACUGACGCUGAGGCGCGAAAGCCAGGGGAGCAAACGGG
rnacentral:rRNA from 1 species